rnacentral:sRNA from 1 species
UACUAUUACGCUAUGUUCCUACAAGAAU